AGUGAACGCUGGCGGUAGGCCUAACACAUGCAAGUCGAACGGCAGCACAGUAAGAGCUUGCUCUUACGGGUGGCGAGUGGCGGACGGGUGAGGAAUACAUCGGAAUCUACUUUUUCGUGGGGGAUAACGUAGGGAAACUUACGCUAAUACCUCAUACGACCUACGGGUGAAAGCAGGGGAUCUUCGGACCUUGCGCGAUUGAAUGAGCCGAUGUCGGAUUAGCUAGUUGGCGGGGUAAAGGCCCACCAAGGCGACGAUCCGUAGCUGGUCUGAGAGGAUGAUCAGCCACACUGGAACUGAGACACGGUCCAGACUCCUACGGGAGGCAGCAGUGGGGAAUAUUGGACAAUGGGCGAAAGCCUGAUCCAGCCAUACCGCGUGGGUGAAGAAGGCCUUCGGGUUGUAAAGCCCUUUUGUUGGGAAAGAAAAGCAGCAGGUUAAUACCCCGCUGUUCUGACGGUACCCAAAGAAUAAGCACCGGCUAACUUCGUG
rnacentral:rRNA from 1 species